rnacentral:rRNA from 1 species
GCCCGAGUUGUAAUUUGCAGAGGAUGUUUCGGGUGAAGCCACGGUCCAAGUCCCUUGGAACAGGACGUCAUAGAGGGUGAGAACCCCGUACCUGGCCGUCGGUGCCCCCCGCUGUGAAACUCCUUCGACGAGUCGAGUUGUUUGGGAAUGCAGCUCUAAAUUGGUGGUAAAUUCCAUCUAAAGCUAAAUACCGGCCAGAGACCGAUAGCGCACAAGUAGAGUGAUCGAAAGAUGAAAAGCACUUUGAAAAGAGAGUUAAAAAGUACGUGAAAUUGUUGAAAGGGAAGCGCUUGCGGCCAGACUUGCCCGCGGUUGCUCAGCCCGCCUUUUGGCGGGUGCACUCUUCCGCGGUCAGGCCAGCAUCGGUUUGGGCGGCCGGAUAAAGGCGCCGGGAACGUGGCCUCCCCUCGGGGAGGUGUUAUAGCCCGGCGUGCAAUGCGGCCAGCCCGGACCGAGGUUCGCGCUCUGCUAGGAUGCUGGCGUAAUGGCCGUAAGCGGCCCGUCUUGAAACACGGACCAAGGAGUCUAACAUCUAUGCGAGUGUUUGGGUGUCAAACCCGUGCGCGUAAUGAAAGUGAACGGAGGUGGGAACCGCAAGGUGCACCAUCGACCGAUCCUGAUGUCUUCGGAAGGAUUUGAGUAAGAGCAUAGCUGUUGGGACCCGAAAGAUGGUGAACUAUGCGUGAAUAGGGUGAAGCCAGAGGAAACUCUGGUGGAGGCUCGCAGCGGUUCUGACGUGCAAAUCGAUCGUCAA